rnacentral:lncRNA from 1 species
CUCAACUUUUUUAAUUUGAAAUCGUCCAAUCACAUUUUGACACGUGUGCAGUGUCAAAAUAAUGUCAAAAAAUGGUGUUAAAAUAUCAUUUUCCAAUCUGUAAAUAAGAUAAUUGACCUAUUAUGACUUUCCGUCUAUAAUUUCGCGAAAAUGUUUCUUUAACACCCUUAUUUGACACAAAUUUGACACAAUUUUUAUUGGUUUCUUUCUUUUAAAUGGAAAUGGGUUUUUUAAAAACUGACGAGGGUAGAAUAGGAAUUAUGAAGAUAUGAAAUUUUGUUUGGCAGUUUCUUUUUCUUCUCUCUCACUUUGUUUAUGAAGUUUCUUGUCUCCCAUCACUCUUUCCAUUCCCGGUUGCUUCAUCUCUCCAAUCCUUUGGUUUCUCCGUUGCACCGUUCGUCUCAUCUCAACUCAAAAAAAGCUAUCUUUCGCAAGGUAAGCUCUAUUUCCUCUAUCCCCUUUUUGGGUGGCUUUAGCGUUGUGUGUGUUUUUUCAUUUCGUCCCCUUCUCGCAUUGUGUGGGUUCUCUUUCUGUAUCAUUUUGUCCCCU